AGUCAGUUUAUCAGUCAUAUUUCUUACGAUUAUUUGAGUUCAAAAAGGUCAAUACGUCGGGAGUUUUGUUGUGGUUAUUAAUAUUGUUUAUGGCUGCAACCAGACGUGACGUCACGCACAACCGGGAUAACCCAACACGGUGUUUCAUGUAACCGGGCGUGGUACCCAUCCCUACUUGUGACAUCCACUGAUGUGUUCCAAGGACCAGGUGGACCGGAGGAUUGUGAUCAGUUUCCACCGGACAGCGAUGGCGUGAAAAAGGCGUGAAAAAGGCACAGCAGGGUAGGUGGAAUAUGGCAGCAAUAGCACAGUUCCACCGCGGUGAGGUGACUGUUCCCUAUUGUCACACUACUCCACCUACCUUAACUGUGAGCCUUUGGGUGUGGCGAUCCCGUAUCCUUUGGAGUCCAGGUUGCCGCCCACUUUCAUGGUGUCGCAGGGCUUGCGCUGCUCCGUGUACUCGUUCAUGGUGGACUCCAGGAGGAAGGCGUACUUCCCCUUGGACUUGCGCACCCGCGCCACGCCCUCCGCCGUGGUCUUGGUGAAGACGGUCGGCUCGGCCGACUUCAUGUAGGACCACAUCUUCUCGUACACCGCGAUUUUGGAGCGCUGCGGACAUGACAGAAGAGGAAGCGGAAAUGAAUGCGUUUGUAGCAGAAAUGUGACAUUUGCAAGAGUCCGACUGCACUGAGCAAGCAAGCAGAGGAAUCCAAACGUCAUCUUCUCCCCGACGGAGUCAUUCUCCAGUGCUGACAUCAGCAGCCAAUGAGAUUCAACCUUCAGACCAGAACCAGAACUGCUCCUUAACGCCCACACUCCUUCUCAAGCUGACUCAUGUUGAUACUGUAUGACGCACAAUAUAAUCACGUGGAAUACAAUCCAUUCU